GAUUGUUUGUCAGGCUUCCUGCUUCUGAUGUACUUAAAAUAAUUUUGCAGUUAGUUUUUCUGUCUUUUGCAAGUUGCUUUUCAAAUUCUUUUUUGGCCUAGCUAACUCUACUUUUGUAUAGUCAGAUCUAUAAGAGAUCUAUAUAUUAUCACAGAGAGGGACUCUCCCACUAUGCCCCAUCAUAGCAGUUCUUGCUCACAACCUAUUAACUUCUGGAAAGAGACUUAACUAUCUUGAAAAAGUUGACAGCGAAGAGUUACAAAGGGACCUCAGAAAACUGGGUGACUGGGCAACAAAAUGACAGAUAAAGUUCAGUGUUGAUUAGCUGUUCCCAUGCAAGAAAAAAAUCUUGGAGUCAUAGUGGAUAGUUCUUUGCAAACAUCUGUUCAAUGUGCAGCAGCACAGAAAAGCCAAUAGGAUGUUAGGAACUAUUAGGAAAGGGAAAAAUAAUAAAACAGAAAAUACCAUAAGGCCACUAUGUAAAUCUUUGAUAUGCCCACACCUUGAAUACUGCAUACAGUUCUAGUUACCCCAUCUCACAAAAGAUAUAUUAGCUUUGGAAAAGGUGCAGGGAAGGGCGUCCACCACAACAAAUGGAACCACUUCCGUGGGAGGAAAGAUUAAAAAGGCUGGGACUGGUCAGCUUCGAAAAGAGACAAUUAAGGGGGGUUAUGACAGAGGUCCAUGAAAUCAGCAAUGGUGGGGAGAAAGUGAAUAAGGAGGUGUUCUUUACCCCUCUCGUAACAUAAGAACCAGGGGGCCACCCAAUGAAAUUAAUAGGCAGCAGGUUUAAAUGAAGCUAAAGGAAGUACUUCUUCACACAACACAGUCAACCUGUGGAGCUCAUUGCCAGGGGAUGUUGUGAAGGCCAAAAAUAUAACUGGGUUCAAAAAGAAUUAGCUAAGUUCCUGGAGGAUAGGUCUAUCAACGGCUCUCAAACAAGAUGGUCAGAGAUGCAACCUCAUGCUUUGGAGUGCCCCUAAACCUUCAACUGCCAGAAGCGUCUGGCACUGGCCACUAUGAUAGACAGGAAUACUGGACUAGACGGACCAUUGGUAUGACCAGGUAUGAGUGUGCUUAUUGUCUAAUCCCCCUGAAACUCCCCCCUACAGCCCAGGUGUAGGUGUCUGCAUCCUUCCCCAAAACCCCUUGUAUUCCCAAAACCCCUCCCUGACACUGAACCCCCAAAUGCUUGUACACCUGGUGCCUGCCCCUACUCCUCAUGGCAGCCCAAGGCAGAGAAAGCAGACAUCAUGUGGAGAGCCUUCAACAGAGCCAGGUACUGGCUAAUGACCCCGCAGGCUCCCAUGCUCAGUUGCAUGCACGCUCUUCCCCUGCGUCCCCUCAGUGUCCCAUGGGGCUGAGCAGGAUCUAUCUGCUUAUGGGCAUGGUCUCUGCCGUACUGGGAAGGAUGUGUACUGCCUGCCAGGCUCAGUGGGCCGCUCCUCCCACCCCCUGUCUUUGUAGAGAGUUUGGGCUUAGAAGAAGUGCUGCUGGGACUAGUGCUGCCCAGACCUAUAUUAUCACCCCCAGCUCCAUUACUGCAGCACCCAAAAGCCUCGCUCAGGUCCAAGUCUCAUUGUGCUGAGCAUUGCAUGGACAAUCAGAGAGACAGAGGGAUGCAUAUGGAGAUGAGUGUGUAAGGAAUGUGGAUGGAGGGAUGUAUAUGGCAUACAGGGGGUUGGACAGAGGGCUGAUGGGAUGGAUGGUGAUGUCACAGGCUGCUAGUUUGGUGGGUUCAGCUCAUGGCUGCUGGUUUGUCACCUCUCGGCCCCUGUUUCCUGCAACAUCCACCCAGCAGAACCUGGCCUUGCAGCGCUACACGUGUGCUACAUGCAGUGCGCAACCUGCUGCUCAGGGAUGUACAAGCAUGCGGUCUCCCGGCUGCUGAACCGCCUGCUCCAAAGCCUGCCGCAGGUCUCACCUUCCUUGGGCAGCAAGACCCUGGCCAGGGUGGCCCCUCAAACCUCCUCACAUCAUGUACGCAGAGCAGGCUACUAAGCACAGAGACACCAUCUUCUCUGUAGCACCAUGGCACUGUUACACCAUAGUGACUACCUGCAGGGGACAAAACUGGCUCAAUGGGGUGGGCAAAGCUGGGAUGGGGCUGUAGCAUCACAAACUGCUCAAUGUCCCAAUUUCCUACUACUGGGAGUUACUGAUACCUAGAUUUUGGGGAGGGGAAGGCGGGGGCUGUCCUGCCACACUUGCUACACCACAAUUUCCCAUCGCUGGGUCCAGGGGUGGGAGUUGUCGGAGUUUUGACUUCCGUGAAAUCUUUAUUUUAAAUUGGGACACUCAUAAAAUGAGAUUUUUCUGCCUGCCACGGACACUGCACCCCUGGAAGGGGACAGUGCAGGGAACAGGCCUAUGGCUGACAGACCCUCGGGCUGGGUACAGUCGUCGCGGGCCCCUCUCCCCAGGAAGCCCCGCACUCCUGGACUCACCGUGGCUGCAUGUGGGGGAGGUCAUGAUGCCUUCCACUCCAGACACCUUCAAAGCUGCUAGGGGGCUCAUUGAGAUAGCGGUGCCCAGGUCUCCAACUACGAGGACUCCACUCCCUCGAAGCACGGCACUGUCCGGGGCAAACUGACCGUGUUCGGCCUGUCUGCCCCCCAACCAGAAUCUCUGUGCCGUUCGGAGUCCCGACGCCGCUCUGAGUCCUGGCAUCACACCUGUGCCCUGCGCUGGUCCGACUCGUGGCAUUGGUCUCGCAGCCCCAACCUUCGGAACCGCUCCCACUCGAGGUGUUCGUCGGCAGAUAAGUCGUGGUCCCACUCUGUGACCUCGCGGCGCUCUCAGCACCGGCCUCAGCCUGCACCUUCCAGGCGUCGCCCGACGGACCAGCACCACUCUACAUAACGGCACUGCACCCCAUCCGGGCACCGUUCUACCUCGCGGCACUGCUCCAUUCCCGCUCAUGGCACCGCUUCCGCUCCUGGCACAUGUCCCUGCUUCGACACCGUCCUCGAUUGCAGCACUGCUCUACAUCGAGGCACCAGUCCUCAUCCAGGCGCUGCUCCACGUUGCAGCACUGCUCUACUUCACGGCACCACUCCACUCCCCACAGUCUCUCCCCACAGCGACACCAUCCUGCACCACGUUCCUAUUGAUUUUGAGUAGUUGAGAGAAUGACCAACCUGUGGCUGAGACCAUCCAGGGAGAUGGAAACCAGACAGUGAUCUACGGAGGAAGAGCAAAUAAAAAUCUGCUUAAGUUAAGUAUUGAGGGAGGGCUCCAAAAACUCUUGUCAGCAUGGGGUGGGUCCCUGAGAAAAGGCCUUUGCAUCUCUCUGGGACAUGAUAUGCUUGGGGGAGCCCUUUGUGCCCUCUCAGGGAGUUGUCCAGUGCUAUGAAGUCUUCCUGAAGUAUGGUAACUUUGUGGAGAGCAACAUCCCUGUAACCAGAGAUGCUCAGUCCUCAUCUCUGUUCCUUCUACAUCACUGGGUGAGCUUUCCUGGUCACACCACUCUAGUUCUCCUCUCUAUCAACUCUGGCUUGCUUCAGAGGACGUGAGUGGGGGGGGCCCCGAGAGUAGCCCUUGGCAUGUGUUUCUGACCACCAGGGUGCACCACCCAGGGCAGGUGGAGGGUCCAGGGCUCAGCACAGCAUCCUGGACUGACGUGCUCUGGCCCGGGCUCCUGGGUUCUGCUCCCUGAGGGCUGUGCUGGCCCCACAGCCAGGUCCUGGGUGGCUCUCAUGGGCUGUGAGCGGUCAAAGGGCAGGAGGGAGCUGAGGAGCAGCUGCAGCCCCAGGGUCCCAAGCAGCAGGAGGACAAGAUGGGGAAGCUCUGCAGCUGUCUGCACCAUGACAUCAGCUAAUGCAGCAGCCGCCUCACCCUGCCCGACUCUGGUUUCUGGCCUCUGACGUAGCCAUGGGCCAGGGCCUUGGAGGGGGCAGGGCCGGCUCUAGGUUUUUUGCCACCCCAAGCAAAAAACUUGCUGCUCCAAGAGUGCAACUACCCAAGCAAAAAAAAAAGGGGGGGGUGCCACCCACAAUGCCACCCCUGGAAUUGUGCCGCCCCAAGCUAGAGCUGGUCCUGGAGCAGGGGCUGGCACUUCACUGAGGAGGAGCAAGGGGUGGAGCCAUAGGGAGGGGCAGAGUCUCAUGGCAAGUGGGGUUGCAGCUGCCACAAUUUUCUGUCUAUUCCCCCCCCACCCCCUCAACCACCACCGGAAGAGGCUGGGGCUGCGGGGGAUGUUACUGUUCUUCUCUGACAAACACUCUGUGCAUUACCUUGUCUGCCCUCUGGGUGUCACUGCUGCUCCAUGGAAGAGACACUCCAUGCAUUACCUCUUUCUCGCCACUGGUGUCAUUGCUGCUCCAAGGCAGAUGCACUCUGUGCAUUAUCCUCACUGGUCACCCACCGGGUGUGUCUGCUGCUCCAGGGCAGAUUCAUUCUAUGAUUUACCCUGACUGACCACCAACUGUCACAGCUGAUCCUGGGGAAACAGUCUGUUCAUUAUCCUGACUGGCCACUGGGUGUCACUGCUGCUCCAGCGGACACCGGUGCAUUACCCUGACUGGCCUCUAAGAUAAAUGUGUGGUAAAGGCUGAGUACAGACUCCUGCUUCCCUCUAGCUGCAGCUUAGUUUCUAAUAAAAGGUUUCCUGCUCAUUCUGGGUGCAGGGGGAGAAUUUCCCCAUCUUCAUAGAAUAUUAGGGUUGGAAGAGACCUCAGGAGGUCAUCUAGUCCAAUCCCUUGCUCA